rnacentral:rRNA from 1 species
GGAAACGAUGUGGGAAGGCAUAGACAGCUAGGAGGUUGGCUUAGAAGCAGCCACCCUUUAAAGAAAGCGUAAUAGCUCACUAGUCGAGUCGGCCUGCGCGGAAGAUGUAACGGGGCUAAAACUAUGUGCCGAAGCUGCGGAUGUAUACUUUGUAUACGUGGUAGGGGAGCGUUCUGUAAGCCGAUGAAGGUGUGUUGAGAAGCAUGCUGGAGGUAUCAGAAGUGCGAAUGCUGACGUGAGUAACGACAAAACGGGUGAAAAACCCGUUCGCCGAAAGACCAAGGGUUCCAGUCCAACGUUAAUCGGGGCUGGGUGAGUCGACCCCUAAGGCGAGGCCGAAAGGCGUAGUCGAUGGGAAAAUGGUUAAUAUUCCAUUACUUCUGUGUAAUGCGAUGAGAGGACGGAGAAGGCUAAAUCAGCCUGGCGUUGGUUGUCCAGGUGAAAGGAUGUAGGCAUGUAUCUUAGGCAAAUCCGGGGUACUCUAUGCUGAGAUCUGAUAGCAAGCUGUACUUGUACAGCGAAGUGGUUGAUGCCAUGCUUCCAGGAAAAGUCUCUAAGCUUCAGUUACACAGGAAUCGUACCCGAAACCGACACAGGUGGUCAGGUCGAGUAGACCAAGGCGCUUGAGAGAACUCUGCUGAAGGAACUAGGCAAAAUGGUACCGUAACUUCGGGAGAAGGUACGCUGUUGUUGGUGAUGGAACUCGCUUCCUGAGCUGACGACAGCCGCAGAAACCAGGCCGCUGCAACUGUUUAUUAAAAACAUAGCACUCUGCAAACACGAAAGUGGACGUAUAGGGUGUGAUGCCUGCCCGGUGCUGGAAGGUUAAUUGAUGGGGUUAGCGUAAGCGAAGCUCUUGAUCGAAGCCCCAGUAAACGGCGGCCGUAACUAUAACGGUCCUAAGGUAGCGAAAUUCCUUGUCGGGUAAGUUCCGACCUGCACGAAUGGCAUAAUGAUGGCGGCGCUGUCUCCAGCAGAGGCUCAGUGAAAUCGAAAUCGCUGUGAAGAUGCAGUGUACCCGCGGCUAGACGGAAAGACCCCGUGAACCUUUACUGCAGCUUGACACUGAACUUUGACCUUACUUGUGUAGGAUAGGUGGGAGGCUUUGAAGCUGGAACGCUAGUUCCAGUGGAGCCGUCCUUGAAAUACCACCCUGGUAAUGUUGAGGUUCUAACUCUGUCCCGUGAUCCGGGACGAGGACCGUGUCUGGUGGGUAGUUUGACUGGGGCGGUCUCCUCCUAAAGAGUAACGGAGGAGUACGAAGGUGCGCUCAGCGUGGUCGGAAAUCACGCGUAGAGUAUAAAGGCAAAAGCGCGCUUAACUGCGAGACCCACAAGUCGAGCAGGUACGAAAGUAGGUCUUAGUGAUCCGGUGGUUCUGUAUGGAAGGGCCAUCGCUCAACGGAUAAAAGGUACUCUGGGGAUAACAGGCUGAUACCGCCCAAGAGUUCAUAUCGACGGCGGUGUUUGGCACCUCGAUGUCGGCUCAUCUCAUCCUGGGGCUGAAGCAGGUCCCAAGGGUAUGGCUGUUCGCCAUUUAAAGAGGUACGCGAGCUGGGUUUAGAACGUCGUGAGACAGUUCGGUCCCUAUCUACCGUGGGCGCUGGAAAUUUGAGAGGAUCUGCUCCUAGUACGAGAGGACCAGAGUGGACGAACCUCUGGUGUACCGGUUGUGACGCCAGUCGCAUCGCCGGGUAGCUAUGUUCGGAAGGGAUAACCGCUGAAAGCAUCUAAGCGGGAAGCCUACCUCAAGAUAAGAUUUCCCUAGGACUUUAUGUCCUCUAAAGAGCCGUUCGAGACUAGGACGUUGAUAGGUUGGAUGUGGAAGCAUAGUGAUAUGUGAAGCUGACCAAUACUAAUUGCUCGUGAGGCUUGACUA